rnacentral:misc_RNA from 1 species
CACAGAUUAGCUUGCGCACACAGACAUACAAAAACAUGCAAGAUCUAAAAAGCCAUUCGCAUGCAGCAAAAGGAAUAGCUGCUAAUAAAAUUUGCAUAUUAUCCACACAACUAGGCAAUCACUCAAGUGCCAAUACCUUCCCAUUGUUGCAUUGUUAAGGAAAUGAUAAUCAGACAUUCAUUAUAUAGAGUAAAGCUAGUAAUCUACACCUAAUUCACUACAUUACAUACAUCUUGAUGUCCCAAAAUGGAAGAAACUCAUUCAUAAAAG